rnacentral:lncRNA from 1 species
ACGUCUGAUUGGUGUACCUGGAAGCCAACUUCAAUAUCCAUGUUAUUUAGAUGGGGAUCUUGUGAAAAUACAGAUUCUAAUUUGUAUUUCUGGGGUAGUUCCUGAGAAUCUAUACUUCUAAUAUUUUCAAGUGAUAUCUAUGUUGAUGUUACAGGUCCACGUUAAGGAACAUGGACUUAGAGGACAUCACACUUGAAAAAAAGUAACUAUAUUCAAGAAGAAAUUACUUUUACUCUUGGAGGAAAAGCAACUCACCAAUAGCUUCAGUUUGCUGUUAGAGAUUGAAGAUUACGCGAAGUUCAGAACACAGGUGUUAUUACAUUUUGGCUGUCUUCCUGACUAGCAUGAUCAUACUCUUGAGUACCCACUGUUCUCCUACAGAGAGUUUAUGAAAACAGGAAAGCUUGAUAUUUAAAUAAUGUUUAUAAAUUGCUUGAUUUGCAGAAAAGCAGACUACUGUUUAUUACAUAAAAUCUACAUACAUAUAUGUAUAAGACCCUGAUAAUAGGGCUAACAUGGUUUAUGAUUAUAAAUCAGUCUGGAGGGGUUGGUAGCAUUGAUGGUCUGUUUAAGAUAUAAAGUAACCAAGUGAAAAAUUAAAAUUGAAUCUACUGUUGUGGAAUUUCAUCUCAAAUCGUAUUAUUUGUUCUUCCUGAAUAUCCGUCUCCCUUCUGCUCUGCCUAACCAAAUUUCCAUUUUAGUUUUCAUCUGUCAGAAUGGCAAACAGUUUUUAGAAGUUAUGGUUUAAAAAAUCUCAAAGAACUUGGCAUUUUCAAAUGUUGCUAAUGGAAGUUCAAAUAGGUUCAAUAUUUGGGGGCGAGGGACAGAAUAGCAAGAAUUAUCAAAUUUUUUAAUAAAUUUAUGUUUUAUUUCUAAGACUUUAAGAAAACAAUCAUGGAGCUAUAUGAAGAUUUAUCAAGAAUGGUCAUAACCUAAUUUAAAAGAGUCAAACACAAAUAGAAAGAGGGAACUGCUUUAAAAAAUUAUGGUCCAUCUAUGUACAAAGAAAUACCAAGAAGUUAAUUUUUAGGAUGCAUAAAAAAGACUAUCCAAUGACCUUAAUAUACUGUCUUUUAGGAAAUUAAAAAGUCAGUAAGCAUAUGAACUGAUUGCUGCCUACAUCUUAAAAUUUCUAAACAAACUUCAUAAAAAAUACCAGAGUAUAUUCAACUAUUCACAGAGCUAGCAUUUAAAGCAUGCAACUAUGGAUGAUUUUCUUUCCUUCUUUGUCCUUUGUAUAUACUCUCCACCGUUUUUAAUGAGUAGGCUUCUUUGAUAAUCAUAAUUAAAAAUAAUUUUAAGCAGCUUUGAAACACUCACAUUAAAACAUUUCUUCCAUCUGAUUUCUAUUUUCCUUCUUUCCUUUCUUGGCAAAUUUGCCCUGAAAAGAAAACCCAGUUUUAUAAUCCUAUCCUUUGUAUCUCUAAUAACUUCUCUUCAGAUAUUGGGAAUGUACUCACCUCAAGUCUUUCACUUUUACUUUAGUUGUUGUGUUUUUAUUUGCUAAAUUUGUAUUAUUAUGAUAUCCAUUUAUUAUUCAUUAAAUAAACAUCUACUUGAGCACCUAGAGCGUGGCGUGUGCUGUUCUUC